CAUCUACUCCCUCCGUCCAAAAAAACUUGUUGAAGAAAUGGACAAAAAUGGAUGUCUCUACAACUAAAAUACAUCUAGAUACAUCCAUUCCUCCGACAAGUAUUUCCGGACGGAGGGAGUAGAAA
rfam:Triticum aestivum genome assembly, contig: Triticum_aestivum_CS42_TGACv1_scaffold_513217_6BS